GAUGAACGCUGGCGGCGUGCCUAAUACAUGCAAGUCGAGCAGACAGGUAAGGAGCUUGCUCCUUUGACGUUAGCGGCGGACGGGUGAGUAACACGUGGGUAACCUACCUAUAAGACUGGGAUAACUUCGGGAAACCGGAGCUAAUACCGGAUAACAUUUGGGACCGCAUGGUUCUAAAGUGAAAGAUGGUUUUGCUAUCACUUAUAGAUGGACCCGCGCCGUAUUAGCUAGUUGGUAAGGUAACGGCUUACCAAGGCAACGAUACGUAGCCGACCUGAGAGGGUGAUCGGCCACACUGGAACUGAGACACGGUCCAGACUCCUACGGGAGGCAGCAGUAGGGAAUCUUCCGCAAUGGGCGAAAGCCUGACGGAGCAACGCCGCGUGAGUGAUGAAGGUCUUCGGAUCGUAAAACUCUGUUGUUAGGGAAGAACAAAUUUGUUAGUAACUGAACAAGUCUUGACGGUACCUAACCAGAAAGCCACGGCUAACUACGUGCCAGCCGCCGCCGUAA
rnacentral:rRNA from 1 species